GUGAUCCGACCUCAGAUCAGACGAGGCGACCCGCUGAAUUUAAGCAUUUCUAGCGGAGGAAAAGAAACUAACGAGGAUUCCCCCAGUAGCGGCGAGCGAAGAGGGAAGAGCCCAGCGCCGAAUCCCCGUCGCGCGGCGGGCGAGGGAAAUUGGCGUACGGAAGACCGCUCGACCGAGGCGUGGCCGGGGGCCCGAGUCCUUCUAUCGAGGCUAACCCGGACGGUGUAGGCCGGUAGCGGCCCCCGUGCGCAGCGGCGCGGUCUUCCCGGAGUCGGGUUGCUCGGAACAGCCCAAAGCGGGUGGUAAACUCCAUCUAAGGCUAAAUACCGGCACAGACCGAUAGUCGACAAGUACCGUAAGGGAAAGUU
rnacentral:rRNA from 1 species